AACGUAUUACAAUGGAGCUCUUCAAUUCUUAUCUGAGUAUCUUGAUAAUACGAAGAGUAAAAGAGCUAUGUUGUUAUCAGUGACAUUGGAUUUAUUGUCCAACAGUCAAUCUGAAAUAACCAUUCAAAGGAAAUAAGUUUCCGACCUAUUUUCUCAAAAUGAUGGAAGUUAGUAGAGUAGCCUUGAUCAAACGCAACGGACGUGUUUUUCCCGUGGAAACGAAAUGUAUAAAAGAAGUAGAAGCAGAAGAAGAAAAAGAAGGAGAUAAAGACGAAGAUGAAGACGAAGACGAAAAGGAGAAAGAGGGGAAGAGAAAUAGAGGACUCGCGAGUGGCUGAUCGUGGAUCGAGAGACCUUGACACAUUUUGUUCGGUGGCGCCAAAUUGGUCGUCGAGCAGGCGGCCUAUCAUAAGAAAUAAGAAAGAGUCGAAAGGGAAGAGAUGCGAGAGGACGUCAGGUACAUGGAAAACAACGUAGUUAAGGGAGGACGGGAAGGAAAGAGAGGGGGAGAGAGAGAGAGAGAGAGAGAGAGAGAGAGGAAAAAGAGGCAAAGGACGAGAGAGAGGAAAAUCAAUGUCAGGCAGCGUGUGCGUUGCAGCCCAAAAUCAAGGGAGAGCCCUAGGCCCUCCCCCUCUUAUUCGAACUGUACUACGGAGUGAGAGGAGAAGAGCCCUGGUCGAUUCGCGGCUGCAAGGGAUGCCAACCCUCUUUCACCGAGCAAAGGAGGAGAGACCAUCAGGGGAAACCAUAACCUGCACAACGGUCCACUUUCGAAACUUCUCCACGAUCCAAGAUGUCCGUUGAGAAUCCUUUCUGGAGCCGAUGUGAUAUAUACGAUGGACCACCCCACGAGAUGGUUCUCCGGCAGGCUCUCGAAAAAAUUUCAAGCACGAGAGGAGCCACGAGAGAUAGCCGAACGGUCUCGUCGACGUAUAUUCGACUCUCAACAUAGUGUCACGCACACGAGCGCGCAUCUACAGAACGGCCAAGAGAAAGUUUCAGACAUCGUAGUUGGCAGCAAAGAAGAAGAAGAAAAAUGGUACGAGACCGUUCAACCGUACGAUACUUUCGAGUUAUUUCCUGCGGUUUUCUACCAGUGGAUCUAACGAGUUACGACCUGGCCAUGUAACUUUCAUAUUUCCGUCACAUUAUAAAUUACAUCCCGAUGGACCUGCCGCAAAGCCGCAAAAAUGAAUUUUAUCAUCGAGUAUGACGAAAUGAUAGUUAAAUUUUUAAGUUGCAAGCACCCUUCUUUUCCUUUCGUAAUUUUUUCUCUGAAAUAAAGAUCUUUAAUUAAUUUUA